CUGAACUGUUGACAUGGGUUGUUGCUGGUCCUCAAAUGGGGGCAUGUGCACGCUCUGUUCACACAUCCACUCACACCUGUGCACCUUCUGUAGUUCUAUGGGCUGGGGGACCUGUCCUCCUUCUGUAGCUCUACACCUUUACACACACACCGUAACAAAGUCUUGUGGAAUGUAUGCCGCGUUUAACGCAAUAUAAUACAACUUUCAGCAACGGAUCUCUUGGCUCUCGCAUCGAUGAAGAACGCAGCGAAAUGCGAUAAGUAAUGUGAAUUGCAGAAUUCAGUGAAUCAUCGAAUCUUUGAACGCACCUUGCGCCCCUUGGUUAUUCCGAUGGGCAUGCCUGUUUGAGUAUCAUGAACACCUCAACUCUUGUGGUUUCCCACAAUGAGCUUGGACUAUGGGGGUUUUUGUUGGCCUUCUGGUCAGCUCCUCUCAAAUGUAUCAGCUUACCGGUGUUUGGUGGCAUCAUGGGUGUGAUAACUAUCUACGCUUGUGGUUGUCUCCAAAUAACCUCCAGUGAUGGGGGUUCGCUGGAGCUUAUAAAUGUCUCUCCCCAGUGAAGACAACCUUUGAACG
rnacentral:sRNA from 1 species